rnacentral:rRNA from 1 species
GUCUACGGUCAUGCCACCCUGAACAUGCCCAAUCUCGUCUGAUCUCAGAAGCUAAGCAGGGUCAGUCCUGGUUAGUACUUGAUGAGAGACCACCUAGGAAGACCAGGCGCUGUAGGCA